rnacentral:tRNA from 3 species
GCCGGAGUAGCUCAGUUGGUAGAGCAACUGAUUUGUAAUCAGUAGGUCGCGGGUUCGAGUCCCAUCUUCGGCU